rnacentral:rRNA from 1 species
AUUGAACGCUGGCGGCAGGCCUAACACAUGCAAGUCGAACGAGUGGCGGACGGGUGAGUAAUGUCUGGGAAACUGCCUGAUGGAGGGGGAUAACUACUGGAAACGGUAGCUAAUACCGCAUACCAUCAGAUGUGCCCAGAUGGGAUUAGCUUGUUGGUGGGGUAACGGCUCACAAAGGCGACGAUCCCUAGCUGGUCUGAGAGGAUGACCGGCCACACUGAAACUGAGAACGGGCCCAGACUCUUCGGGGGGGCAGAAGUGGGGAAUAUGGCACAAGGGGCGAAGGCCGGAGGCGGCCAGGCCGGGUGUAUGAAGAAGGCCUUCGGGUUGUAAAGUCUUUUAGGCGGGGAGGCGUUACCAGCAGAAGAAGCACCGGCAAAUUCCGUGCCAGCAGCGGGGGAAAUA